AGAGAGGGGUGCGGAGCGGGCGGAAGAGGCGUCUGUGUCGCAGCUUGGUCUCAGAGGAGCAUCGCUGGGCUCGUCUCAAUUUGGCCCUGCUGUAUUUCAAGUGCUCGGUAGCCACAUGUGGCAAGUGGCCAUCACUGUGGCCAUUGCAGCUCCAAAGGGACAGGAGAGUUGAUGGAAAUUAGACACUGCAUUCUACAGCCUCAUGAGCCCAAGAGAGCAAACCUUGGUUUGCUGAAAAUCAGCAGAUAAGGCAAUUGAAAGGGAAGAAGAACAACGACUAUCGUCUAUUCCACAAGAUGAGUAACAGCCACCCUCUUCGCCCCUUUACUGCAGUGGGGGAAAUUGAUCAUGUGCACAUUUUGUCUGAACAUAUUGGUGCCUUGUUGAUUGGGGAAGAAUAUGGCGACGUCACAUUCGUGGUGGAAAAGAAACGUUUUCCUGCCCACAGGGUAAUUUUAGCAGCCAGGUGCCAAUAUUUUCGAGCAUUAUUAUAUGGUGGAAUGCGAGAGUCUCAGCCUGAAGCAGAAAUUCCUCUCCAAGACACCACUGCAGAAGCAUUCACAAUGCUACUCA
rnacentral:lncRNA from 10 species